UCNGAAGCCUGCCUGCUCCAAGCCAAGU
rnacentral:piRNA from 1 species